UAACGAUUAAUUUAUUUUUUGAAUUUAGCUUUUGGGGAGCUAAGGGUAAUUUCGUUAA
rnacentral:tRNA from 1 species